GGGUCAGUAGGUUGGUCGUGCCACCGGUACGUACUGGUCUCACUGAUUCCUCCUUCCUGAAGAGCCGUAAUGCCAUUAAUUUGGUGUUGCGGGGAAACAGGACUGUUACUUUGAAAAAAUUAGAGUGUUUAAAGCAAGCUAACGCUUGAAUACAUUAGCAUGGAAUAAUGAAAUAGGACGAUCGAUCCUCUUUUGUUGGUUUCUAGGAUUGACGUA
rnacentral:rRNA from 1 species